rnacentral:lncRNA from 1 species
AGAUAUCUUUUGUGCCUUUGUUGGUAUCUUACCAUUAUAAAUGAGGCACAGCAUUUGGUAGGUCUCUUGAAUUUUGGAAACAAAGGAUAACAAAGUUUGAUGUGUUUUGUCCACGAAUUUACUGGAAGACCUAAAAUACUGCCAUCCUUUAAGAAGAUCUCGGCAGGUUCACAGCUAGAGAACAAUUUCCACCAAGGUCUAUCAGGAAUAAAAGUUUGAGUCACUUAGCUGCAGGUUGCCUUUGAUGAACUUAAAAGUACUUGCUGAACUUGAAAAAUAUAACAAGUACAUAUAUGCGAAGAAAAAGCAUAAAUGUCAACUACAGUAACGUCAUCAGUUGCACAGCUAAGUACUGUUGAAUCUACAUAUGUUUUCUUUCUUUAUGGGUUAAUUAAAUAGGUAUGUAAGUUAAUUAGUAUCUUUUUUGCCCUCAAAUUCCCCCAAACUAUUUGACAAGGGAUAGAGGGUGUUAGAUUCAGAAUAUUAUGGCAAAAUCACAAAGAAAUACUGAUAGGAGAAACGGAUGUCACCAGGUAUGUUGAACUUGUAGCCAGGUGGAAUUACUGAUGAUUUUUUAAAAAUAUAUCUCCUUAGUGAAUACUUUUUGAUAGGUUAAGCAGUCUUAAAAAUUGUAAGUGAGAAGUGUGUGUUUAAAUACUGUUCACUAAAAGAGUGAAUAGUAUUGACAUUUGUCAAUUUAAUGGCUCAGCACCAAACAUCCUGCUGUCUAUUUUGGUUAAAGAUCUAUAUAGACAGGAGUCAGAAGUUGAAAAGGGAAAGCUACUUAUUCUGCCUGUCUCCUGACAGUUGGAGAAUGGGUCCACAGCUAAACUACAAUCAAUCACUUGCUCCCACCCAGGAAAUUGAAUCUUGAGAGAAUUACACAGAGGUGUAAAGUCUGUCAGAGGUUGUCUGUGGCAGCUGUGGUGGAGUCAAGAAUUCAGUGAUGAGCGGUGUGUGCGCCCUCUGGCUUCAACAUCAGCAGGCUCAGACUCACAGGAUGAGGAUCCGAACCUCCAGCAUAGGAUGGAGAAGGCCUGACUUCAUCUGUUUCUGUCUUUACCCCUCCCAGAACUCCAGGUUUCAGUUUACUCCAUCUUCUCUGGUGUCCCUCCAGAUUUUUAGGGCACUCAGGGCCUGAGGGAGUGUCUGCGUUCUGUGUGUACAUCCUGGCCACACAAGGCCUCUAUCACCUCUCAGCUCCCCGCAGAGAGCAGCUGAACAGCUUCUAAAACCUUAGCUUAGACUUCCCUGUGUUGUAGGAAACAGUGCCCGUUUUUCAAACCUCCCCACGGGCUAACUCUCUUUCCCUCAGUCGGGGAACAAGUAUAUUUAUGGCGUUUUAAUGCAUUUUUAUUUGUCAGGAAAUAAUACCUCUGCUUCAUUUAAAC